AGCUGCGUGGUGAGCACAAAGCGAACUAUUCUUUCGUCUUUUACUAAAGAAUAACGUGUGCUCAUCACAUCAAGUAGCGUACUUCAAUUUUUAGAGGGCGCUUUCCUACCGAGGAAGGC